rnacentral:misc_RNA from 1 species
AACUUUUAGCAAUGGAUCUCUUGGCUCUCGCAUCGAUGAAGAACGCGGCGAAAUGCGAUACGUAAUGUGAAUUGCAGAAUUCAGUGAAUCAUCGAAUCUUUGAACGCAUAUUGCGCUCUCUGGUAUUCCGGAGAGCAUGCUUGUUUGAGUAUCAGUAAACACCUCAAAUCCCUCUACUUGUUGGAGGAGUUUGGACUUGAGCAAUCCCAACUUUUCGAAAGAGAGGCGGGUUGCUUGAAAUGCAGGUGCAGCUAGAUUCUUUCUUCUGAGCUAUAAGCAUACUUAUUUAAUCCCGUCAAACGGAUUAUUACUUUUGCUGCAGCUAACAUAAAGGUUGAAGAGUCGCUAUGGCUGACUGAUGCAGGAUUUAACAUGUCGCGCAAGCGAUCUGUAAACUCGAUCUCAAAUCAAGCAAGACUACCCGCUGAACUUAAGCAUAUCAAUAAGCGGAGGCU